AGUGUGAAAAUCUGCGAAAAGCACUUUCUUUCAGACGAUUUUCUUAUGGGUACAUGUUCAAAACAACUUAAAGUUGGUGCAUUGCCAACAGUAAAUCUGCCAAAGACCACACCAGAACCAAAAAAUAGAAAGGCACCAUAUACAAGAAAGCCAUUACCAGAGUAUACCUCCUUCUUAAAGUUCAAAUUGGAUGCCAAAAAAUAUUGCAAUGCUAAUGAAUUGGAUUUUCAAGACAACCCCAACUGGAUCUGCAUAGAACACAACCUUCUUUGUACGAUCAAC